AGCAGUAGCCACGGUAAUACGGAGGGUGCAAGCGUUAAUCGGAAUUACUGGGCGUAAAGCGCACGCAGGCGGUUUGUUAAGUCUGUUGUGAAAUCCCCGGGCUCAACCUGGGAAUGGCAAUGGAUACUGGCAAGCUAGAGUGUGUCAGAGGAUGGUGGAAUUCCCGGUGUAGCGGUGAAAUGCGUAGAGAUCGGGAGGAACAUCAGUGGCGAAGGCGGCCAUCUGGGACAACACUGACGCUGAGGCACGAAAGCGUGGGGAGCAAACAGGAUUAGAUACCCCCGUAGUCCCUGUCUCUUAUAU
rnacentral:rRNA from 1 species